AUGCUUGCAGUUAUAUGACUGGUGUCAUACUUUACUAAUCAUUAAACUUUCAGACAAAGCUACAAACCAAUUGGUGUUACUGCCUUACGAAAUUGUCCAGGAUAAACACAUUAGCUACAAUUCCACCACAAACUUGAACUAUUAUGGUUGAAUGUUUAGACAGAAAAUUGCUAAGAUAAACAAGCUAACUCUAAGUGAUCACAAAUCAACGAUCCAGCAAUCUAUAUAUCACAGGUCUAUCAGUUCAAUUACACAAUCCAAUUGAUUAAAUCAAACCACAUAGAGCUGAUAAAAGCACAAUGAGAUUCACAAGUGAAAGAUAAACAACAGGAGCUUCAGUGUACAUUCCAUUUUUUCUCAACAAACGAUCCACAUAGUACUGAGUUUCCGGCGAGUACCUGGUUUUGAAUUAUAGCAAAGAAGAACAGGGUCAGCGGAAGCAAGUGAACGGCAGCACUAGCAGUAGGCGAGAUUUAGCAAUACAAAACAACACACAGCCCAGAAAAUGAGUCCAGAUGUCCUAGGAAAGUUGAGAACUCAAAUGAAACCAAUAAAUCGAACCAAAACAACCCAAAAUGCACUCAGUCACACCAGCAACCUAUCAGCACCUCUCCACAUCCCCUAAUAUCAAUCUAUACCAAUUUAAUUAGACUCAAAACUGCUUGGAACCGACCCAAAAACCAUUCUGAACAUCAGCAAUCAAACAGUGGACCAAAAGAUGUGAAUUAACAACUAGAACAUCAAAAUUAACCUACAAUUUCCAAUGAAACAUUGACUUUUUGGUUUCUUUUUUUAAAAAGCUUCUAAUAUUUUUGGUUUUCUGUAUGAAGAAAGAUAAAACUAAGGGAAUUUCAGAUCUGAAUUUCGGAUCUGGAAGCUUGGGGGCAUUUUUGGACUGCCAAACUUGUGAAUGAAGUAAAGGGAAUGCCCUUUUAUAGGCCCAAAUGAGGACAGCCCUCAUAUUUUCAGUUUGCACUAUUAGUCCCUUCUUAUUUUCG
rnacentral:lncRNA from 1 species